ensembl:snRNA U6 U6 spliceosomal RNA
UUGCUUCAGCAGCACAUAUACUGAAACUGGAACAAUACAGAGAAGAUUGGUAGGGCCCCUGCACAAAGAUGGCAUGCAAAUUCAUGAAGCAUUCUAUAUUUUU